CGAGAUGUAGCUAUAACCAAAGCAUUCAGCUUACACCUGAAAGAUAUCUGCCCACUAUCAGAUCAUCUCGA
rnacentral:tRNA from 1 species